GUGUGGGUAGCUUAGUGAUUAAGAUGUUGGACUUCUGAUCAGAAGGUCGUGAGUUCAAAUCCCAGCAUCGCCA